rnacentral:rRNA from 1 species
GAACGGAUUGGAAACUCCGGCCAUAGAGGGUGAUAGCCCCUUAUACGAAAUUAUCGGUGUGGAACUAAGCUUGCGACAAGUAGGGCGGGACACGUGAAAUCCUGUCUGAACAUGGGGGGACCAUCCUCCAAGGCUAAAUACUCGAUAUCGACCGAUAGUGAACCAGUACCGUGAGGGAAAGGCGAAAAGAACCCCGGGAGGGGAGUGAAAUAGAACCUGAAACCGUGUGCAUACAAACAGUAGGAGCAGACUAGUUCUGUGACUGCGUACCUUUUGUAUAAUGGGUCAGCGACUUACAUUCAGUGGCAAGCUUAACCGCAUAGGGAAGGCGUAGAGAAA